rnacentral:lncRNA from 10 species
GCCACUGCGGCGGCCUGGGCCUUGCGCUGACAGCCCGGCCCCUCGCGCGCCGCCAGGGCCGCGCCUCCCCCUCUCCCGGGCCCCGCCCCCGCCCGUCUCCCCGGCGACGUUGUCAACACGCGCUCCACAACAGCGGCGUGACGCUCAGGGAUCCCCCGGGCGCCCCGGGCUCCCGCCUGCGCGAGCAUCCCGGGGACCUGGAGCGGGGGCGGUGUCGGGGCCUCUCAGAGACUCUCAGGGGAGCACCGGGCUUGGCGGUCUCCCCGGAUCCCUUGACGGAAGGGGAGAUUGGCUCCAGCCUCAGAGAGGGCUGCAGAACCCUGGAUGGAUGGGAAGUCUGGAGUCUCCAGGAUUCAUGGAUGGGAAACCCUACUUGGCUGUGCUUCCUGCUAACACGAGGCCCUGCGAUUGCUGAGAACAACAGCCCCGAGACUGCGCGGCUCCGGGGGGAAAAAAACCUGGCCCCCUUUCAAGCCUUGACAGAAAACCUUUCAGAGCCCUGAACUCCCACCAGCCCGAGGACGGCUCCGAUAGCUCUGACAAAUGAGCCGGGACUGUGCCCAGGGCUCCCAGGCUGGGAGGGGACCCCGGCUCCCUUGUUCCUUCCUAAGGUCGGAAAAAAAAGCGCGUGUCCCUUCCUCCACCACAGAGGAACAGAGAAGUGUUUGCAUUGGUGGAUUUUUAAAUACUUGUUUAUUUUUAUUAAAGUGCAAUUCACAUGAAAUU